UAUAUAAAAGUAUUUAAUAAAGUGCGAGCAGAGGAUCAAUCAAACUUGGGCUGGAAUGAUUGUAGUGCAUCCAAUGGAUCUUGGAAAUCGUAGUUUACAUCUACAGCAGCAUAUGCUACAGCAGUGACAACGCCAAAGAAAAGGACUACAUUUCCCAGAAUGCACCUGCACCCACUCAUCUGCCCCUUCAGGUGCGACCGCUUCACCUAUGGGCUUGACGGGAAAAUUCAAAAUCGCGAACCGUUACAGCCUGGACGGUGUCUUUGUUUGCUUGCACAUCAACAGUAAGAGGUCAUGUACACUGUGGUCAACUUUGUGGACGCUGAAGAGGUUUCUGGGGAAAGAUGAUAGAAAUAUAAUGAAGUAACAGUGGAAGCUAAAACAUCAGACUGAUCCAGACACUGAAGAAAUUGAUGUCACUGCAAUCUGGCCAAAAUGAUACAACUAUAUUGAAGUAGCCUACUGUAAUGAAGCUGCAGAACGUCACAGAGACUCUGAGGACAUCAACACAGAAAAUCAAAUAAGAAGUUAUGAAGACAUUAUGAAGUUCUUUGAUCAUAUAUUGUUGUAUCUUUGUACAGUUAAAGUAAACUUUCUAAAAUGUACAACUUUAUGUCAUUUGAUUUGUCGUGUGUGUGUAACUGUAUAUGUGUAUAAGUAUUAUGCCAAAUACUUAUGUACUUUUAUAUUUCCAAAGGGGUCCAAAGAGAUGUCUGUCCAGAUGAGGGUGCAUCAACGUUACCUUUGCUGACAAGUAUAUGCUUUUAGCAGUUAACUUAACUCAAACCUUUUAAGGAAAUAGGUUGCCUUAAACCAUUAAGUUUUAAAAAACAUACAUUUGAGUACUUUGAACUUAAGUCUUGUGCAAUUAUGCACUUAUAUUUAGGUAGCGUGAACUUAAACAAAUUGAGUCACAUGCAGUUAAGCACUUAUAUUUAAGUUCACAGUACUCAAAUCUAUGUGUUUUAAAACUUGAAUGGUUUAAUGCAACCGGUUUUCUUAAAUGUGAGAAAUUACAGUGUUACAGUGAGAAAUGUUUGAAUAAUUCCAAGACAGAGCUCUGUGAUUAAUUAUACACUGCAAAAAAUCACUUUCUAACACUUUUUAUCUUGUUUUCAGUAGAAAAACUAAAAAUUCUUAAAUCAAGAUGUAUUUUCUUGAUGAGCAAAAUUACCUUAGAAAAUAUGUCUAGUUUUUAGACAAAAAUAUACAAUUUAAGAUAAUUUGUGCCUAAACAAGCAAAAAUAUCUAACAUUGGGGUGAGAAAAUUGUGUUUUAAUUAAGUUUUUAAGAUAAAAGAAAACUUAAGAUUUUUUUUCUCACACUAUUGGAAGAUAUUUUGCUUGUUUUAAGCACAAUUUCACUUAAUGUAUGUGUGUGUAUUUUAUUUAUUUAUUUAUUUUGUCUAAAACUAGACUUAUUUUCUUGGGUCAUUUUGUUCCUCAAGAACAAGCAUUUUAAUUUAAAUAAUAUUUGUACUGAAAAGAAGACAAAAAUACUAUGUAAGAAAGUCAUUUUUUGCAGUGUAGGACUGAUUUCUUAAGAGCAAGAUCAAUAUAGUUGUUGUUCAUUUUAUUUAGAUAUUUACUACAUUACAGUGGCAGCUGGUGACUUCUUUUUUUUGUGAGAACUCGAUGCGAAGUUUGUCACAACAUGUAUAUAGCCCGUCAUUUGUGUGGUUCUCAAUUUCAAAAUAUGUGUUCUGCGUGUAUGUGUAUCACGUGUUUUGACUAAACACGUGAUGCACGUGGUUUACAUGAAGCAACAAACACAUAUUUUAAAAACACAAGCAACACACAUGACACUCCGAACACUUAUUUUGAAUUUGCAACCCUCGGAUGAGCAGUCACGAGCCGCCACUGCUACAUUACAUUGUACUGCUUUGAAUGUAGUUUUCAUUGUUGCUUUUAUUUUGUUUUAUUUUACUCUAAUAUUGCUUUCUCUGUCUGUAUAUUUAUGAGUUUAAAUUGUAUUGUUUAU